rnacentral:tRNA from 1 species
UCCCUGGCAGUCUAGUGGUUAAGACUCCACACUUGCAAUGCUGGGGGCACAGGUUUGAUCCCUGGUUGGGGAA